rnacentral:rRNA from 1 species
GACGAACGCUGGCGGCGUGCUUAACACAUGCAAGUCGAGCGGUAAGGCCCUUUCGGGGGUACACGAGCGGCGAACGGGUGAGUAACACGUGGGUGACCUGCCCUCAGCUCUGGGAUAAGCCUGGGAAACUGGGUCUAAUACCGGAUAUGACUCCAUGACGCAUGUUGUGGGGUGGAAAGCCUUGUGCGGCUGAGGAUGGGCCCGCGGCCUAUCAGCUUGUUGGUGGGGNGAUGGCCUACCAAGGCGACGACGGGUAGCCGGCCUGAGAGGGCGACCGGCCACACUGGGACUGAGACACGGCCCAGACUCCUACGGGAGGCAGCAGUGGGGAAUCUUGCGCAAUGGGCGAAAGCCUGACGCAGCGACGCCGCGUGAGGGAU